UAUUUAGCAAGUUCUCUGCCCGG
rnacentral:piRNA from 1 species